AUAGAAAUGGCCUAAUGUGUAUGAGCCUAGGGCUUCUGGGGAGGGACUCUCUAUCAUGCCUUCUGUCCCAGGAUGUCAAAGCCAAAAGGAUCAAGGUCCCCUGAAAUAAAAUCACUGAAAAGGUAUGUUCUCUUAUAUGUUAUUUAAAAAUUUUAUCUGAUGCCACCAAAGAAUGACAGCAGUUUCUAACCAACUUCAUAUUUAUAGCAUCAUAUUAAGGUAUUAUAAGGCUUAGCAUAUUUUGCCCUGGUUUUCUUUGUAAUGUAGGUUGAAAGGGAGACAUGUUUGAGUGCUUUUGUACGUAACUAUCUCCCAUGCUUUUUCUAUCUCUUCUUGGUCUAUAUUUACUAAAAAUUGAUAUAAAAAAACAGUUCACUAAUGAGCUCUUCAUAUUAUUGAACACUCACAAGGUAAUAUUGAUUUGGGUGCUACCAGACUUUUAACUAACAUUAGUUUUUCUCAAUAGUUCUUGUAAAGGACAGCAUUCAAUCCAGUAAAUAUUAAAGUGUACUAGUUUAAGGAAGGUUAUUUAUAUACUGUCAUACCACAAAGCAAUGAUGGAAAGAACAUCUGUGUUCACCAGAACGUACUUUCUUCCUUUGGCUGUGAAUAAAUUGGAUAGGACUAUUUUAUUCUAAGUUCUGGCUAUUGGGAGAUAUGGGGAUAAGAUUGACAUUGCUGUCGCAGUAUUGCAAAAACAUGACUAAUUUGGUUAAUUAUGUCUACCAUUUAUGUUUAAGAGAUCCUUUCACUAACUUAAAUUGUUAAAAGUUGUUGUGAUAUUGAGAAAGAAUUUUAACCUAAACAGUCACUUUACAACAAUCAUGUAAAGACGAGUGUGCCUGCAGUUGAGGUUUUUUUGCAUUUCUGAGCCCACUUUGUAUUCAUGAGAAACAAAAACAUAAUGGGAGAAAAGUUUUAAAUAACCAGUAUUGUAAGUUUUCAUAAAGUUUGGGACUUCAAAGUAUUAACGAAGGAUACUGAAAACAUACUGGACUUUUACUUUGGUCAAAUUACUUUCUAUGAUCUGAUUUCUUAAUUUUCUGUAUUUGAAGUCUUGCCAAUUAGGAAUAUCUAUAUCUAUAUAUAAACAGAUAACUAAAACUUAAUGGUAAAAAUAAGUGUAAUUCAGUAAAAUGAUUCAACAGUUUUUAUUUUUAGAAUAAGUUAUCGCUUAUUGCAUUGAUAUCAUAUUUAUAUAUUGCCUUGCAAUGCUAAAUGCUCUAAAAAGAAUAUUUAGGC
rnacentral:lncRNA from 10 species